CAUGUAUUGAGACGUAACUGGAGGUGUUAGAGAUGAAAAUCAGUUGAUCCAGGAGAUAGAACAGCGGCCCAUAUCCGUGCUUCAUGGAACACCCGAUAGAUCAGCUUACCAAACACGCGUGGCCCACAAAAAGAUAUUCGUUUCCGCCCAGCGCGAUAUCCACGGGAUCACAGGAAGAACAGCUGCGGAGAAGGGAGGAUUCCGAGAGAAAGAAACACGUGGUGCGGUUCUCCGAGUGAAGAGGGGACAUUUGGACGCGGGAUGCGUGGCUUCUUCUCUGUUGGCCGGCAAAUGUAAUUGCUAAGUGGAUCGCCAUGUGAAUUUUGACCGCAUUAAUUUUAGUGCCAAUGCCACUUUCAGACCUGCAACUCUCUUAAUCGGUUCAUCGAUAUUGUCUUCACACUCCUCGCAAGUAAAACUGGUUGCUGUUAGGUAGGAAAUACGUAUGCUCUAUUUCCAGAAGCGUUGAAAAUACUGUUUGUAAAUAAUUAGUCAAGUAUCAAAGGGAUUUACCGUGAACUGGAAUCUCUAUUCAUAGUAAUUAGCGAUUUUGAUAGUUGGCAAUCCAUUAUAUUUCAUUUUUAACGCUAUUAAAGGCUUCAUUUGUAAUAAUUAAAUAACUUAGUUAGGGAUAUUUAUUAUAAUAUUUAAUAGGUAACAUAAAUCUCUAUUUAGAUUCCGUCUCUUCACGUACAUUUGUGAAAAUACAAAAUUAUAUAUAUAUUGAUAUAGAUCUACUAUAUUUAAUUUUUAACACAAUGAAUUUGAAAAUAAAAUUUUAAAGGAAGUAGAGUAGGAAAAGCAUUUAGAUAUUGGUUAAUGUCUGAUCAGAGGACACAUUUCCAUUGAAAAUGUAUCAACGUUUUGAAGUUGUUCAGAACCUACCUAAAAGGGGAGAAAAAAGCGUAGAUGCACGGCGGAAAAGUAAGAUAAACAGAAGCAUGUGGAAGAGAGAAAGCAACGGGGAUUGGGAAAGGGUCAGGGGGCAGCGUCCUGAGGUGAGGGAGCAGAGCCGGGUCAGAGGAAAAUUUGCAUUUCCUGUUCACGAUGAAUAAUGCCGCAUGGAAAACCGUAGUUGGUCAGUCGUCGAAUUAAUUCAAUAAUCCUCGAAAUUUCAAUGAAAAGGCUAUUCGUUUCGAAAGCCAUGGAAAAGAAAUCGUGUUCGUGGUCGUCGGAAAGAAUUUCACCGGCUAUUCAUUUAUGUAACACCUUUAUUGCACUCAUAGUAUUUUUUAUAUUCUUCUUAUUCACUAUAUUCUUCAUGUACUUAUCUCUCUUUCUUCUUUAAGGAUAUAAAAUAAUUUCUGGAAGCCAAGGACUAUCAUAAAUUCAUACCGAAUGGAAUUCUUUUUCUGAAACGAGAUGUAGAAAAGGAUGUGACCUUGUAACUAGUAUUCUAAAGCUAUUUCAUGGGGUUGCUUCAAAUGGAUGAGGAGGAGGAAGUGGGAGAUGGAAUGUUUAUGAGAACAGCUGUUCCUGUCCUCGGGGUUGUUGACCAUCCAUACACCUACUUUCGUAGAAGCCUUUUUAUUAGUAGGUGGAUCUUCAGGUACACAGAAGCAACACGGGUCCAUUAACUUCGGGGAGUUUUUCUUCCUUUAUCUUGAAGCUGUCUGUUCUUUGUGACUCGAGGUAAUCCUAAACAGAAUCUUCGUCUAGGAUGAAUUUAUCAGUGGAUAAAGGGAUUAGGCUUUGUUUGAAGAAAUUUUUAAAUAAUAAUAAUUUUAAUAAAAAUAUUGAAAUUGAAGACUACGCGAAAAAAGAUUACAAGCUUAUUUUUCUUAAUUUUUUCAAUUUUAUAGUAUUUGAUGGAUAAAGAAAACUAUCUUAAUAUAAAAGUUAAAAUAGGAAAUUUGAUAAAAACAAGAGGAUGGAAUAUAAGAAAAGAAAGACAUUUAAUUGUAUAAGAGGCAAUUUAUAUAUCUGUAAUAACUUAUAUAAUCCACUUUGUUAAUACUUUGUUAUACAACUAAACAGAGCCAUCUGUUAAUAAGCAGCUUAGAAUCAAUCUUAACAAACAUUUUGUAACAAACAUUCUAUCUCUUAUGAUCAUUGAAAGAAAUGAUUCUCUGAGAAUAUAGAUCAAUUGA